AACAAGUAAAGAACCUUUUUUGUUAUUUCUGCAAAUUUGUUGACUGCAUACCCCCCAAAACAUUGAACAGAGUAAAUUACAUCAAAUAGAAAAUGAGUGAGAGUUAUGAAUAGACAAGUGAACAAGAAUCAUUACAAAACCCAUCAAUCCAUAAUAACAUAAAAUCAAAUAAGAAGAAAAUGACUUCUCCCUACACUCCUCUUCUUGCCCAUCUUCACUCCUAAACUUGGACUUGGACUGGCUCACUUGAAAGAAAUGUACGAAUGCAGCUUAAAAGAGCGGUCUUCAUCUUGUGCGAAAGACUCAUCCCAGGAAAGUCAAAGAAAAGGUCCAACAGAGCAGCGCCUUCGAGCAGUGCCCUCUACUCCAGUCAAUUUGAAGAAGAGCUGGCUUUUAACUGUAAGCUAUCAACAUAUCGAGAUUCACGACGCGAUGAGGAUAAGCCACAGUCCAAGAUGAUUCAACGGUGGUGGCUCGAUUCGACAUCGGAGAGCAGCGGUAGUGAAGCAGCCAGGGGCUUUGAAAACAAAAAUAAAGUAGAAAAGAAGAGGAGAAGCGGGAGAGAGAAAGGAAAGGUGGUGUUUCUCCGAUCAGUGACGGCUCAAAGGAAAUGAAAGAGCAGGAGGAAAAAGUUGACCGGAGAACAAACGUCGGUGACAACGUUGAACUGCAAUGUGAUGCAUGAUGACGGCGACUAAGGUUGGGAAAGAAAGGUAGAGGAGAAGAAGAAAAGAAAAAAAUAAAAUGGAAGUGGGAAAGAAUAAAAGAAAAGGGAAAAAC
rnacentral:lncRNA from 1 species